rnacentral:lncRNA from 1 species
UUGAACUCACAGAGAUCCUCCUGCCUUUGCCUCCCAAAUGUUGGGAUUAAAGGCACAGAGCACCAUGCCCUAUCUGAGAAAAGCUUCUGGACAGCCUGCGCUCACAGACAUGGCACAAUAUAAAGCAACCACAAAACAAGCCAUAUGCCUCAGUUUCUAAGAGCCAAGCACAUGAUCUCUCCAUCCAGUAAGUGUGACUGAGAAACAGGUUCCCGGAUUCCCCACUAGGAUGUAAAAGUAAGUCCCAUCCUUACCCAUUCCUGGCCAGGUUCCCUGACGGCCACCCCUUCAUAUCUGAAGGCUGAUACAUGGGUGUGGGCUGAGGAUGCUGCACCAUGGCAUUCUGGGAAGGCCCCAUUCUUGAUGACAUCAUUGCACUGGGAGGACUCGAGCCUCGACCAAAGGCUGGCUCUGGUGGUUGUCCCAUUCCUUAAAGAAAUGAACAGAAAUCAGUGUUCAAAUGCAGCAUCCAUGGACUUUCAGCAUCCUAGAAUCACCAAAGAUGGAGAAGGAAGGAGAAAAAAGGCUCCACGCCGAUGCUCUGUCGUUCUUGCUUCUCACUAAGAUGACAAAGUCAUCAAUUUAGUAAAAAAAAAAAAAAAAAAAAAAAUGCCAUCCAGGGCACCGUGGCGGGGCAGGGCUGCACUCUCUAACAACACAUCUCUGUCCCAAAACCUCCCCAAAGGUGGGCCUGAAGCACCGCCUGCUUAAUAUAAUCACAGUAAGUGCCCAAGUCACAGAAAAAAGGGAUGGCGAAGCCCAUACUGGGAUCUGCCCCUCAAGCUUGAGUGUCCAGAGAUAUCACAUGGGACAUGAAGAACAGGCAAGAGGAAGGUUUAUGUGAUCUUUUUCAAAUAAGGGGAUGAGGGGGUUUGCAGGGGC